rnacentral:rRNA from 1 species
AAUGGCAGGUCAGCAUACUGCCGUGAAUACGUUCCCGGGCCUUGUACACACCGCCCGUCACACCAUGAGAGUCGAUAACACCCGAAGCCUGUAGUCUAACCAUAAGGGGGACGCAGUCGAAGGUGGGAUUGAUAAUUAGGGUGAAGUCGUAACAAGGUAUC